rnacentral:rRNA from 1 species
AGUGAACGCUGGCGGUAGGCCUAACACAUGCAAGUCGAACGGCAGCACAGUAAGAGCUUGCUCUUACGGGUGGCGAGUGGCGGACGGGGGAGGAAGACAUCGGAAUCUACUUUUUCGUGGGGGAUAACGUAGGGAAACUUACGCUAAUACCGCAUAUGACCUACGGGUGAAAGCAGGGGAUCUUCGGACCUUGCGCGAAUGAAUGAGCCGAUGUCGGAUUCGCUAGUUGGCGGGGUAAAGGCCCACCAAGGCGACGAUCCGUAGCUGGUCUGAGAGGAUGAUUCGCCACACUGGAUCUGAGACACGGUCCAGACUCCUACGCGAGGCAGCAGUGGGGAAUACUGGACAAUGCGCGCAAGCCUGAUCCAGCCCUACCGCGUGAGUGCAGAAGGCCUUCGGGUUGUAAAGCCCUUUUGUUCGGAAAGAAGAGCAGCAGUUUAAUACCCCGCUGUUCUGACGGUACCCAAAGAAUAAGCCCCGGCUAACUUCGUG